rnacentral:rRNA from 1 species
AUUGAACGCUGGCGGAAUGCUUUACACAUGCAAGUCGAACGGCAGCACGGACUUCGGUCUGGUGGCGAGUGGCGAACGGGUGAGUAAUGUAUCGGAACGUGCCCAGUCGUGGGGGAUAACGUAGUGAAAAUUACGCUAAUACCGCAUACGAUCUAUGGAUGAAAGCGGGGGAUCGCAAGACCUCGCGCGAUUGGAGCGGCCGAUAUCAGAUUAGGUAGUUGGUGGGGUAAAGGCCCACCAAGCCAACGAUCUGUAGCUGGUCAGAGAGGACGACCAGCCACACUGGAACUGAGACACGGUCCAGACUCCUACGGGAGGCAGCAGUGGGGAAUUCUGGACAAUGGGCGAAAGCCUGAUCCAGCCAUUCCGCGUGCAGGAUGAAGGCCCUCGGGUUGUAAACUGCUUUUGUACAGAACGAAAAGGUUUCUACUAAUACUAGGAGCUCAUGACGGUACUGUAAGAAUAAGCAUCGGCUAACUACGUGCCAGCCGCCGCCGUAA